rnacentral:rRNA from 1 species
CGCCUGGGGAGUGCGGCCGCAAGGUUAAAACUCAAAUGAAUUGACGGGGGCCCGCACAAGCGGUGGAGCAUGUGGUUUAAUUCGAUGCAACGCGAAGAACCUUACCUGGCCUUGACAUCCAGAGAACUUUCCAGAGAUGGAUUGGUGCCUUCGGGAACUCUGAGACAGGUGCUGCAUGGCCGUCGUCAGCUCGUGUCGUGAGAUGUUGGGUUAAGUCCCGUAACGAGCGCAACCCCUAUCCCUGGUUGCUAGCAGGUAAUGCUGAGAACUCCAGGGAGACUGCCGGUGACAAACCGGAGGAAGGUGGGGAUGACGUCAGGUCAUCAUGGCCCUUACGGCCAGGGCUACACACGUGCUACAAUGGCGCGUACAGAGGGCUGCCAACUCGCGAGAGUGAGCCAAUCCCUUAAAACGCGUCGUAGUCCGGAUCGGAGUCUGCAACUCGACUCCGUGAAGUCGGAAUCGCUAGUAAUCGCGAAUCAGAAUGUCGCGGUGAAUACGUUCCCGGGCCUUGUACACACCGCCCGUCACACCAUGGGAGUGGAUUGCACCAGAAGUAGUUAGUCUAACCUUCGGGAGGACGAUUACCACGGUGUGGUUCAUGACUGGGGUGAAGUCGUAACAAGGUAACCGUA